GUCCCCUUCGUCUAGAGGCACCAGGACACCGCCCCUUUCACGGCGGUAACAGGGGUUCGAAUCCCUAGGGGACGCCA
rnacentral:tRNA from 1 species